GGUUAUGGCUCAGUGGUAGAGUGCUUGCCUACACGUGCGAGACCCUGAGUUCGAUCCUCAGCACCA
rnacentral:tRNA from 1 species